rnacentral:rRNA from 1 species
GAUGAACGCUGGCGGCGUGCCUAAUACAUGCAAGUCGAGCGAACAGACGAGGAGCUUGCUCCUCUGACGUUAGCGGCGGACGGGUGAGUAACACGUGGAUAACCUACCUAUAAGACUGGGAUAACUUCGGGAAACCGGAGCUAAUACCGGAUAACAUGUUGAACCGCAUGGUUCUACAGUGAAAGACGGUUUUGCUGUCACUUAUAGAUGGACCCGCGCCGCAUUAGCUAGUUGGUAAGGUAACGGCUUACCAAGGCAACGAUGCGUAGCCGACCUGAGAGGGUGAUCGGCCACACUGGAACUGAGACACGGUCCAGACUCCUACGGGAGGCAGCAGUAGGGAAUCUUCCGCAAUGGGCGAAAGCCUGACGGAGCAACGCCGCGUGAGUGAAGAAGGUCUUCGGAUCGUAAAACUCUGUUAUUAGGGAAGAACAAAUGUGUAAGUAACUGUGCACGUCUUGACGGUACCUAAUCAGAAAGCCACGGCUAACUACGUG